AUGCCAAAAUCGACAUCCAUGUGCUGCUCCAUGUCAAAUCUUGGUGCUUGCGAGCUCGGAGACGCUGGCCGCUGUCAGCUAUUAAUUCAUCUGAAGGAAGAGGGGAGGGGGGAGGUGAGUGGUACCGGGACAUCCUUGGAGGUGACACGGGCGCCGUUGGAAGCUUGCUGGCAGGAGACGCAGGAGGAAGGGCGAGCGAGCGCCGGAGGCCGUACGGACGCUGGAGAGCCACCGCCUCGCCGUCUUGACCGCUGCCGCCCCUGGACCUUGUGGCGCUCGUGCGGGCGCGGCGCCUCGCCGUAUUGGCCGCUGCCACCCCUGGCCCUCGCGUCGCCCGUGCCGCCGUGGAGCCUCGCCGUAUUGGCAGCUGCCGCGAGGGAGGAGCAGCCAGCAAGGAGGGGGGAGGGAAGCGGCAGGGCAGCUGCGGUGGAGGAAGAGCCGCCAGCAAGGAGGGGGGAGGGAAGCAGCAGGGCAGCUGCGGCGGAGGAGUAUGAGCCUAUGAGGGGAUCUGUGGGAGAAGGCGACCACCGCGCUCGGGGAGGUAGGCGAAAGGGAAAAGAGGAAUAG
rnacentral:rRNA from 1 species